rnacentral:pre_miRNA from 1 species
GCGGCAUGGUGGCCCCGUUCGUCGGACGAGCGUGCCUAGGCAUCGGCCGCGCGCUCCUCCGUCGAACGGCGCCUGCCGUGUCGC